rnacentral:rRNA from 1 species
UACAGAGGUCUCAAGCGUUGUCCGGAAUCAUUGGGCGUAAAGCGCGUGUAGGCGGCCCGGUAAGUCCGCUGUGAAAGUCCAGGGCUCAACCCUGGGAUGCCGGUGGAUACUGUCGGGCUCGAGUCCGGAAGAGGAGUGUGGAAUUCCUGGUGUAGCGGUGAAAUGCGCAGAUAUCAGGAGGAACACCAAUGGCGAAGGCAGCACUCUGGGACGGUACUGACGCUGAGGCACGAAAGCGUGGGGAGCAAACAGG